rnacentral:rRNA from 1 species
GACGAACGCUGGCGGCGUGCUUAACACAUGCAAGUCGAACGGGAAGGCCCUGCUUUGUUCGCGUGCUGCAAUCGCGAGAGGGUGACGUACCCGUUAGUUACCUCCCCUUGACUUUAGGAUAACUUCAGGAAACUGGUACUAAUUCCGGACAGGACCUUCUUCUGCUGUGUUGGGAUGGUUAAGUUGUGGCGGUUGGGGAUGGACCCGCGGCUUAUCAGCUUGUUGGUGGGGUAGUGGCUUACCAAGGCUUUGACGGGUAGCCGGCCUGAGAGGGUGACCGGCCACAUUGGGACUGAGAUACGGCCCAGACUCCUACGGGAGGCAGCAGUGGGGAAUAUUGCACAAUGGGCGGAAGCCUGAUGCAGCGACGCCGCGUGCGGGAUGACGGCCUUCGGGUUGUAAACCACUUUCGCCUGAGACGAAGCGUGAGUGACGGUACCGGGUGAAGAAGCACCGGCUAACUACGUG